GAGUGAAAUGAUGCUUUACCAUCUUUCGGGACUGACAUCCCAUGGAGAAAUUGUUUAUUUACUGAUCACUC